AACGCGGAAGAGCUCAGCGCAGAAGUGCCAGAAUCAUCGUAUGAUGGCGCGGUGUUGCGUUUAGGCGCAUCUUUUUGCUGCGGCGAUUGCCUGAAGUUGGCUGGAAAGCAACUUUCCAUAGAGGGUGUUAGACCCGUUCGGGCUUUCGCUGUGGUGAUUGGGUGUGUCUUCGAGUCGAGUUGCUUGGAAGUGCAGCUCAAAGUGGGUGGUAUACCGCAUCUAAAGCUAAAUAUGAGUACGAGACCGAUAGCAAACAAGUACCGUGAGGGAAAGUUGCAAAGAACUUUGAAGAGAGAGUUCAAGAGUACGUGAAACCAUCGUGGAGUAAUCGGAUGGAGUCGAUUAUAUUGUAGGCAUUCAUACUUCGCGUUGCUGCCUGGCGUGGGGCUUCGGGACUGCUGUCUGUGUUCCGGUUCUGCGCAUGUGGUGGUGAGUGCGGUGUGCAUUUGCUUGCGAUAACGCGGAGACAAUCGCUAUCCUCUUCUGAACCGUGCAGUGUGGCCCUUGCUUCGGCUCGGUAACCUGUUGUGCGGGGAGGUUGGUAUGGGUGGUGAUUUGUAAGCAGGCUGGCCUUUGCGCUGGGUGCGUGGUGCUGUGGGCGGUGAUUUCGUGAGUGUUACAUUCGCGGUUGAAUCGUUUACGGUUGCUGUGUUCCUGGAGCGGCUGAUCUCUCCGUGGGAACGUCGAUUACCCAUCUGACCCGUCUUGAAACACGGACCAAGAAGUUUAGCAAGUGCGCGAGUCAAUGGGUUGAAAACCUACUGGCGCAAUGAAAGUGAAGGCUCGCUUGUCGGGCUGACAUGAGAUCCGUGCGAAAGCGCGGCGCAUCAUGGCCCCAUGCCGAUUGCUUGCAAUGGUGUGGCGGUAGAGCGUACUUGCUGAGACCCGAAAGAUGGUGAACUAUGCUUGAGCAGGAUGAAGCCAGAGGAAACUCUGGUGGAAGUCCGAAGCGUUUCUGACGUGCAAAUCGAUCGUCUGACUUGAGCAUAGGGGCGAAAGACUAAUCGAACCAUCUAGUAGCUGGUUCCCUCCGAAGUUUCCCCCAGGAUAGCUGGGCGAAGAAAGCAGUUAUAUUCGGUAAAGCGAAUGAUUAGAGGAAUUGGGGGCGAAAUGCUCUCAACCUAUUCUCAAACUUUCAAUGGGUAUGACGUUGCGGUUUCUUAAUUGAACCGUGACAGCGAAUGAUUCGCCCAAGUGGGCCAUUUUUGGUAAGCAGAACUGGCGAUGCGGGAUGCUCCGAACGUUGGGUUAAGGUGCCUAACUUUCUGCUCAUGAGAACCCAUAAAAGGUGUUGGUUGAUAUAGACAGCAGGACGGUGGCCAUGGAAGUCGGAAACCGCUAAGGAGUGUGUAACAACUCACCUGCCGAAUCAACUAGCCCUGAAAAUGGAUGGCGCUAGAGCGGGAGACCUAUACCCGACCGUUGUUGGCUUGUAUGCUCGAAAGAGUCGUCUGGCCUCAACGUGUAGGAGGGUUGCAGCGGUGUGCUUAGAAGGCUUUGGGCGUAGGCCCGGCUGGAGCCGCCGUUGGU
rnacentral:rRNA from 1 species